rnacentral:RNase_P_RNA from 1 species
UUCAAAGGGUAAUCGAGCACGAAAGUGUUAGGAAAGUCCAUGCUAGCACAAGCUGUGAUGCUUGUAGUGAUUGCGCUAAACGAAAAACUAAGUUUAGGCACCAAUAGGUGACGGCGGAGAAAUGAAUGUUAAAGGUCAUAGUAUCCAUAAAGUGCCACAGAGACGAGUCAUAUAAAAUAUAUAUGAAUGAAACGUUGGUAAACCCCACAAGCUAGAAACCCAAAUUUUGGUAGGGGAAUGGUUGUUUGGUAACCGAACUGAACAACUGACGGGAAACCGUAGAUAGAUGAUUACCGCACAUAUUAUAUGUGACAGAACAUGGCUUACAUUU